UAGGGAAUAUUGGACAAUGGGCGCAAGCCUGAUCCAGCCAUGCCGCGUGCAGGAAGAAGCAUCUAUGGUGUGUAAACUGUUUUUGUACGGGCAGAAACACUCCUUCGUGAAGGAGCUUGACUGUACCGUAAGAAUAAGGAUCGGCUAACUCCGUGCCAGCAGCCGCGGCAAUACGGAGGAUCCAAGCGUUAUCCGGAAUCAUUGGGUUUAAAGGGUCCGUAGGCGGUUUAGUAAGUCAGUGGUGAAAGCCCAUCGCUCAACGAUGGAACGGCCAUUGAUACUGCUAGACUUGAAGUAUUAGGAAGUAACUAGAAUAUGUAGUGUAGCGAUGAAAUGCUUAGAUAUUACAUGGAAUACCAAUUGCGAAGGCAGGUUACUACUUGUGGAUUGACGCUGAUGGACGAAAGCAUGGGGAGCGGACA
rnacentral:rRNA from 1 species